rnacentral:lncRNA from 1 species
GCUACUCACAGUGAGGUUAUUGUAGUUUGACUGCACAUAUACAUGGUCUCUAGACAUAUGGGUCCAUGCAGUGUAGAUUGGCUGCAGUAGGUUCACUGUAGGAGUAGGGUAUGCACCUAUAUAGAAUCUAUCGAUCUUGAUAGAUAAGGAGAGAUCCUAUGUGAUUUAUAAGACAGAGUUCAUAAGACCUCGGCCGGGGCAGUAUGCAUAGUGGA